AUGGUGGCACACGAUUUUAUUGUUAAGAAUAGGGAAGGCGAGCUUAAAUACAAAUUGUUCUUUGAUAAACAUCAUCUUGAGACUAUUACCCUGCCUGCUCCUUCCUUGUUUGAUUUAUCUGCAAGCAAGUACCUUGUUCUGUUAGAGGCUAUUCACGCCUACCGGAACCCUACAUCAGCUACAGAGCCAGAGUCGGAACCACAAGUUGAUCCUCCACGACAGUCUAAUUACCAGUGGGAUCCGGAGAUGAUUGCCAACCAGUGGCAAUUAGAGUCUUCUUCUUCGCAGUACGACCCCAACUAUUACUAUGGAUAUCCGCCAGGCCAGCCGUGGCCAUAG
rnacentral:rRNA from 1 species